UACGGGGGGGGUAAGCGUUGUUCGGAAUUACUGGGCGUAAAGGGCUCGUAGGCGGCCAACUAAGUCGGACGUGAAAUCCCUCAGCUUAACUGGGGAACUGCGUCCGAUACUGGAUGGCUUGGAUUUGGGAGAGGGAUGCGGAAUUCCAGGUGUAGCGGUGAAAUGCGUAGAGAUGUGGAGGAACACCAAUGGCGAAGGCAGCCUCCUGGGCCAAUACUGACACUCAUGCACGAAAGCGUGGGGAGCAAACAGG
rnacentral:rRNA from 1 species